rnacentral:rRNA from 1 species
AGCAGUGGGGAAUUUUCCGCAAUGGGCGAAAGCCUGACGGAGCAAUGCCGCGUGAAGGCAGAAGGCCCACGGGUCAUGAACUUCUUUUCUCGGAGAAGAAAAAUGACGGUAUCUGAGGAAUAAGCAUCGGCUAACUCUGUGCCAGCAGCCGCGGUAAGACAGAGGAUGCAAGCGUUAUCCGGAAUGAUUGGGCGUAAAGCGUCUGUAGGUGGCUUUUCAAGUCCGCCGUCAAAUUCCAGGGCUCAACCCUGGACAGGCGGUAGAAACUACCAAGCUGGAGUGCGGUAGGGGCAGAGGGAAUUUCCGGUGGAGCGGUGAAAUGCGUUGAGAUCGGAAAGAACACCAACGGCGAAAGCACUUUGCUGGGCCGACACUGACACUGAGA